rnacentral:lncRNA from 1 species
ACCAACCAAAUCACACGAAGAAACAAUGCAGAUACUGAAACAGGGAAAUGGUGAUGGACAGCAGCAGAGGCUAUGGGUGUAGGCAAACGAGAUAACAUGCAUAUUGACCAAGGUGCGAAGCAGGUUCAAACAUACCACAGGUUCAUACAACACAACAGGUUGUAAACCAAACACCACACAGCAAACAUUCAAACAGGCAGACAACAGAUAAAGCCGCUUGGGCAGAUCACAGGAUAGUAGUAGACGAAGGCACGCUUGACGUACAUCAGGUCGCAAACUCAUCUGCUCUAGUACUCAUCACCCUCAUCACCGUCCUCGCCCUCGUCGAACUCAGCGCCAACUUCUUCAUAGUCCUUCUCCAGGGCAGCAAGAUCCUCACGGGCCUCAGAGAACUCACCCUCCUCCAUGCCCUCACCCACGUACCAGUGGACGAAGGCACGCUUAGCGUACAUCAGGUCGAACUUGUGGUCGAUGCGGGAGAAGACCUCGACAACGCUGGUGGAGUUGGAGAUCAUGCACACGGCCCUCUGGACCUUGGCGAGGUCGCCGCCUGGGACGACGCUGGGUGGCUGGUAGUUGAUACCACACUUGAAACCAGUGGGGCACCAGUCCACAAACUGGAUGGUGCGCUUCGUCUUGAUGGUGGCCACAGCAGCGUUGACAUCCUUGGGCACAACAUCACCACGGUACAUGAGGCAGCAGGCCAUGUACUUGCCAUGGCGGGGGUCACACUUGGCCAUCAUGGAGGAAGGCUCGAAGGCGCUGUUGGUGAUCUCAGCGACAGAGAGCUGCUCAUGGUAAGCCUUCUCAGCUGAGAUCACUGGGGCGUAGGAGGAAAGCAUGAAGUGGAUCCUCGGGUAGGGCACCAGGUUGGUCUGAAACUCAUUCACAUCAACAUUCAGAGCACCAUCAAACCUCAGGGAAGCAGUCAGGGAUGAGAUGACCUGCAGAUUGGUUGUUCCACAAUGCAUUAGAUCCCAAUAUAACAUGACUAGACAGUGCAACAUAUAUCAUACAUCAAACAGAAAACAAACAUGUACUAAGCAGAAACAGGGCUAUACCUGAGAAACGAGCCUAUUGAGGUUGGUGUAUGUUGGGCGCUCAAUGUCAAGGGAGCGGCGGCAGAUGUCAUAGAUGGCCUCAUUGUCAAGGAGGACAGCCACAUCAGUGUGCUCAAGGAGAGAGUGGGUGGACAGG